CUUCCGCUUCCAUAUUUUGAAAUCGUCGAUCUGUGAACAUUGUGAGGAAAGGAAAGCAAAACAAUGGGAGAAACACGUGGAGAGUAUACAAUCUAUUUUGUGGACAACUUGUUAAAGGCUCCUAGAGUAUUCUUAUGGGGUAUGCGACGUGUAUAACACUGGAAGAAGCAGUCCUACCAAACUUGAAAAGCCACGAGGUCGAGUGGUAAUGGCGCGCCCGUGCCGAUGAACUUGCACGUUGUUUUCACAAUCGGUUUUCCCAACUGCCGACUAUUCCUUGUCAGAUAAUCCUAAAAAUCCGGGAGAUAUAGCAUAGCCUAUCUAACUUUGAAGUUUGAGGAAGCAGACUGACUUUGAAGACGACAAUGAUGUUGAUUGAAUAAUACCAGGAUGCAGCAUUGCAGAAAGUAAUGACAAUAUCUGACAUGUCUUAUGCCAAUCAAUUCCUCCAGAAGAUGACACAAACUUUAAAUUAUGGAAGUUGCGAGCAAGAAUUUUUCAAGGGAAUGUCAGAUGGAGAAGAAACAUCAGUCAACAAGACAGUGUAAAAUGAUAAAGUAUCUGUAAUAGGUGCUUACCAUAUUCUGCCUAUUGUGGAUUCAGUGAUGGUUUUUCAAACGAACUAUGCUCAUCAACCAAAUGUCCUUAAAAUCUGUGGAGUGCAGAGCCACUUUCAGGCGAGACAGUAGUGUGGUUCAUUUUAGUGGACAUGAUUUUAGACGAGAUGUGCUUUGUGAAACUUGAAACAUUGUUCAUUCAUCAUAGUGUAAUGAGAACUGUUGUGGUCCAUCAUUCUAUGCUUUAGUGAAGUAAUGGAGAUAAUGUGAAGUACAUGUGUAAAUGCUCAUAUUCUGCACAACAUAUUUUUCAGUGACAUUAUUUCUUUGAGACCAAGCUCUGGACAGUUGAUAGCCAUUUAUGUGUAGGACUUUAUUUAUUUUUCUGUGUGUGCAGUAGCAACUACCACUUGCAGUAAACCCAAACAAAGUGGAGAAAUAAUUUGUUGAGUUCAGAGAUUACAAUUUUUAUUGUGUUAUUUUGAUGAGAAGAUAGUAUUAAUAAGGUACAAUGGUACAUUGUAUCUUAUUGAAAAGCUUAUUUAAGAGUUAUCAGUAGAAUUAGACUGCAUGACAAUUAUUAGAAUGGGAAACCUAGAUGAAGUCAAAAGAAACUAUACUGUAUUUUACAGACUGUCCUGGAAAUAUCAUGCAAUAAAUAAUGUCUCCAGUGUUA